AGGCCAGCAUCUGCCCCCUGCUGGCCCAUGGUGAAUCCCUGGACUGAGCCACAGCCCACUGGCUCUCCCAUUACUUGCAGCCAAAUGCACUGUGGCAUGUCCUCAUUCCUUGGGACUAUAGCCUGCUUGAUCACAACACACACAGGGACAGACUGAGUUCUGGAGCACAGAGACCUGUCUCUGGAGUCACACCGUGUAACCUUGGGUUCUCAAGCUCACCUGGGGCUCCUGCCUUUUGGUUUUGUGUCUUCCUUCAGGCUUCUGUGGCUCAGCCUUCAGCUGCUCUGUAACUCAGGCACUUCCGGUAGGAGGCGGCACCGACCUUUCCCCAGCUCUCCCUGUCUCUGUGUCAAUAGCCCAAGGCCACUGUCCCAGCUUUGGGACCCGAAUAGCUCCCCACAUCCUUUGAUGGAGAAGAUGACCAAAUGUAUCUGAUGCUCUAGGGGAGGAGUGAGUCACAGUCACAGAGCUGGGGUCACUAUCAGGAGUCUGCUAUCUCGCUGGAUUCCCUUGCUCGGUGUCCUGCCCCCCCAGGCUUCUGAAGGCCCUGACUCAGCGGCUUGUGGUCAGAGCUGACACUCAGGGUCCUUUUCGGUUCAUCUUGUGCCCAGCUGUUAAUUAGGUGUAGUUGAUUUCCUGCCUCUGUCCAUGUUGUCUCCACUAUUUUUAGCAUGGAAUAAUAAAUAUUGAAGAUGCCAUGAUUGUGGCAGAGAAAGCUGUUAGCAUUUACUAUGUGCUGAGUACUUUAAAUGUUGUUGGUUUUGGUUUGGUUUUUUGUUUGUUUGUUUGUUUGUUUGUUUUCUUGAAAAUGAUGUCCGUUUUUAGACAGAAAACUAAGGUCUGGGGCUGGGGCGGCUGGUAGAGUCCUUGCUAUUGUCCCCAAAGUCCCAGGUACCCAGGAUCACAUAAAACUCAGCAUGAUCAAGUGUGCCUGUGAUCCCAGCACUCAGGGGGCUGAGGUAGGAAGACCAAGAGUUGAGGACCAUCCUCAGCUGUGGAACAGACUGGUUUCCAUGGGACACUGCCUCAAGACCAAACAACGAAACCAAAGGCUUGGAAAAGUGAACUCGUUUGGCCCUGGGGUCUGCCUCUGAAGCACAAGACCCUCCCUAGGAUGCUACCUGAACCAAGGCUGCCAGGGUAGGGGUUACUGCGACUGCUACUGUUUACUUAAGAGCCAUCUGGAGCUUGGAGAUGGAGAGUGUGUGGCGCCUCAAGGUUGCUGUACAGGACCCAGACUCAUCAGCAACUGGUCCUCAUGUCACAGAUGGCUGCCAACGCUCACUCUUCACCUCUUCACCCAACCAUAGCCAAAGCAGGAAGAGAGGAAAGGGAGCAACCGGCCGCUCCUCAUUUGCCUUUCUUAUCUGAAAGGAAACACUUUCCCAGAAGUCUCCAGCACUGUAUGUUCUUAGCCAGAAAUGGGUCACAGGACCACCCUGGACCAAUCCCAGGCCCAGGAAGAUGGGCUUGCUAUAGUGGACUUAAAUCAAUCGCACUUUCUUCCCUAGAGCCGGGCCCAUGGCCAGCUGGAGAAGUUAGCAUCAGUCAGCUGGCGGGAAGGAAGGGCAGCUGGCAGGCCUGUCCCCAGCGCCACCGACUCCAGCUUUCCAAAGUCCCAGGAGAAGCAAUGUCCAGGUGACUUCUGGCCUCUGCUGCAGAGCAGAGAAGUGGUCAGCCUCCUGGGGCAACAGCCAUGAAGAUCCUUUGCAAGCACUGUGAGCAAGUGGGCAGCCUUGUGCCCACUGGAGCAGCAAGUGCAGAUUGUAAAAGUCAACCUUGAUUUUAGAAUCAAAGAGUUUCACACAGGGAUGGGGCUCUGCCUCCCUGGAAACUGCCCACGUGCAUGUGUGUUCACAAAUAAACUAAAAUGUUUUCUCUU